CAGUAGCCGCGGGAAUACGUAGGUGGCAAGCGUUGUCCGGAAUUAUUGGGCGUAAAGGGCUCGCAGGCGGUUUCUUAAGUCUGAUGUGAAAGCCCCCGACUCAACCGGGGAGGGUCAUUGGAAACUGGGAAACUUGAGUGCAGAAGAGGAGAGUGGAAUUCCACGUGUAGCGGUGAAAUGCGUAGAGAUGUGGAGGAACACCAGUGGCGAAGGCGACUCUCUGGUCUGUAACUGACGCUGAGGAGCGAAAGCGUGGGGAGCGAACAGGAUUAGAUACCCCUGUAGUCCCUGUCUCUUAUAU
rnacentral:rRNA from 1 species